UACGGAGGGUGCGAGCGUUGUCCGGAAUCACUGGGCGUAAAGGGCGCGUAGGCGGUUCGUUAAGUUGCUGGUGAAAUCCCGGGGCUCAACUCCGGGGCUGCCAGUAAGACUGGCGGGCUAGAGCACGGUAGAGGCAGAUGGAAUUCCCGGUGUAGCGGUGGAAUGCGUAGAUAUCGGGAAGAAUACCGGUGGCGAAGGCGUUCUGCUGGGCCGUUGCUGACGCUGAGGCGCGACAGCGUGGGGAGCAAACAGG
rnacentral:rRNA from 1 species